GACGGAGGGUGCUAGCGUUGUUCGGAAUCACUGGGCGUAAAGGGCGCGCAGGCGGCCGCCCGCGUCGGACGUGAAAGCCCGGGGCUCAACCCCGGAACGGCGUCCGAUACGGGGCGGCUCGAGGCCGGGAGAGGGGGGUGGAAUACCCAGUGUAGAGGUGAAAUUCGUAGAUAUUGGGUGGAACACCGGUGGCGAAAGCGGCCCCCUGGCCCGGUCCUGACGCUGAGGCGCGAAAGCGUGGGGAGCAAACAGGG
rnacentral:rRNA from 1 species